AGAUUGACGAUUUGUUUAUAAACCGAAGAUUUACUUUUUUCUUGAAAGAACGUCAACAGGGGUAAGGGUAAAACUUAAAUUUCGAACAAUGUCGUUGCAUUCUGUUCAUUUAUAUGUAAAUAUUUUUAUACUUGUAUACAGAUGGACAUUUAUCCUGGGGAAUUGUUCAAUAUCUACACUUAUACGUUAGUUAUCGUUACAGUAUUUUCUUUUUUAGUAAAAUAGCAUAGCGGUUCUCUAGUUAGCUAACGCUGCCAGCUAGUUUGCAAGUAUACGUUGCUAAAUUUUCAAAAUUCUGUGAGAUGUGCUAGAAAAUGUAUUAUUACUAGAUUACCCAGACCUGGAUUUGAUUAUUAUAUUGUGCUUAAUCUCCCAAUGUUUUUAUUAUACCUUUUCUGAGGAUUUCAUUGUUCCCAAUAAAGUCCUGCUUUUACCAAUACAGUACCUAUUCACAUUCUAAUGUAUUCACAUUUUAACUACUCACUACAAUUCAGCAGUAUUGUUCAUCAGUAUAGAUUAAAUCAAUAUGUUGAUUACGAUUUGGUAGAGAUAAAGGCUAAAAUACCACAGUAAGAGUGUAACCUAAGAUGUAUAGGCUUUUUAAGCAACACCAUAAGAGCUUUUCUUAGGCGCAUAGCAGAGUGCCUGGACACCUUGUUGUAUAUUGGCAGUAUAUCAUUAACCCCCAAGAUGCUGCAAUGCUCUUAUAAACCAGUUACCAACGAUUAAAAAAAAGUUAUGUCAUACCAGUUGUCAUACUGUCAGCCAAACAAUCAGGAUUGAAAGCAUUCAGUUUACAAUUAAGAUUUGUUUCUCAACUUCACACGCGUUUUUAAAAGUUCACCGUCCCUUAGCUUUGUUACUGUGAGUAAAAGUGCCUGAUGUACAACAAGCUUUCACUUUUACUAUGACAGAGCUCGAUAUAAAUACGUGUUUAUAUAUUCCUAUGUAGAUCGCAGAUCACCUACACUUUAGUGUGGCUGGGCAUAUGUCUGUUUUAUUUGCAUCCCAGCUACUCUAUUUUGGAUUUGAAUCAAUAACACACACUUUAUUUUUCUCUAAAAGAGUGUCUGGUCAAAGUCGAAGGGCCGAACACGAGGUGGCAAUUCUGCUUGGAGAUGCAUUCCUUGAAGAGAUCAACAAGUUUAUUUUGUAUUAUGUAGCCAUAUGGGAUUCAUUUCACUCCAGCCACUUAAUUCCCAUUAUUUUCCUACUGUAUCUUUCAUCACGUUGCAUGUUCUAACCCCAUGAGAAGGGUCAGUCACAGGAGAAAGGCCAAGUGAAAAGCCAUGAAAGCCCCAGAGUCAACUGGUGGAAGAGGUACUAGGAUGGGCAGCGUGUGACCACCACUAAACGGAGGAAGAGUGGGCCACGUCAAAAGGUUUCACCUGCUGUUCCUGUUCCUCGAUGUCAACGUCUUCCUCAAUCUCUACCACCUAUCAAGAUGCUGGCCGGUAUGAUCGGAAUGUUCCUGUGCUGACAUGCAAUCUUUGCAAUAAGUAUUGGACUCCAGAACUCAAUGACUUUGUAAGGAGUGGGUAUUGGCCAGCCACCAUGCAAGCACAGACUUUAUUCCAUCAAGACCUGUUUCAUUCGUUUGAGGCAAUGAAGACAACUGCUCCAGGGUUUAGACAAGCCUUCACGGCAAUGCUGGACCAGAGAACAAAGCACCUUGGAAGGAUUGGCAAAGAAACCCCGAAUGCCUUUCAAAAGGGUUUUCUACAGUAUGUAUACUGUAAAUUUGAAGUGAACUGUUUGGAAUUGAGCAGUUUGUCUGUCCAGCCUGUGCUCCUGAAAUGGUGGCUGUUUCAGUGGACAGCAACCAAAAACUUUAUCUGUUCCAGAAAACCAAUCAGUGAGUAGUAUGUGUCCUUCGAAGUUGUUGAUUCAGUAUAGGGUACUAUCUGUAUAUGCUCCAACUGUAAUGGUAGUCCAUAACAUCUUCUGAACUUAUGUUGUAGGGCUGAGGAGCCAGCCUUUUUUAAAGGAGUGAUUUUAGUCAAAGACAGUGAGAUGUUCAGCUUUGUUGAGGAGGUUAGGGGGGCUGUCAAGAGUAUUCUGUGGAGGGUGUGUGCAGAUCCAGGUGGGUGCAGGCACUACUCUUGGAGAAGAAGCUGAGCAGUUGAACAGCUUCCUGUCCAGAUGUGCCCUAACCACAAAUAAGAACUGACAUGCUAACUGUCCAUGCCAUGGGGUAGAAUGAACGAAAAAAGGACAGCCUCCACAUCUCCUUGUCAGACAGUAGAAAAGACAUUGGAGGUAACUGAAAGCCUGAAAAAGAUCCAGGACCAGUUUUAUUGCUCUGAUGACAUGCUGGAACAGUGGGUUUUAGAUGUCAACCAGUGGGCCAAUAGUGUUCCAACAUUCAGGUGAAGUUCAUGGUUUGCAGAUCUCCAUAGAAGAGCUCUUUGUGAGCAUUCGCCGCAAGAAUCAUUACCUCUACAGACAGAAUGAUCGUAACAAAAGGCUCCAGAAGGUCACUCGGAAGAUUGCAAAGCAAAAAAAAAAGGCUUCUAGAUACCAUCCAGAGGUAUAACAAAGUGCCCCAUCAUAAUGCUGUUGACGCAACUGCAGUUGGUCAGAAACUUGCAAACAACACUACAGAGAGCAUGAUCUGGUCAUGGCAAGAACAGAACACAGAUGUUGUUGACAUUCUCACCACAAAUAAGCUUUUUGACCAACGAAUGCUAAUCUCCCGACUGGCUGAAGAAAAGGACAUUCUUGUGAAGGAGAUGAUGCAGCACUGUCUUUACCUCAAAGACUUAGUGAAAACAGUCCAGUCACUGGUGGCUACCACACUGACAGGAAGUAUGUUUGAAUCUCAUAUUCAUUCUUCAUUACUCUUUCUGUGUAAAAUCUUUACGUUUUUGAAGGAAGUCCAAAUGGACUCCCGUCGGCUGGGUCCCAAGUUCUUAUCUGUCUGCUGAAGAGAAGACUGCAUGAACUCUGACUAAAACAGCAGACUGUAGCCAGCUCUUACAAAGACACUCUUGGUCAGUCCUUGGCUGGUGGAAGGUUAUUGUGAUGUGCUCCUGAGGCUCCCAAGAGGGGGGCCAUGUCUUCUUGCUGAAACAUACAAAAGGUGAAAAUUAGCUAGUAUAUUAAUAAUAAUUGUCAGUGACCAUUAGCUCUAGUUGAAAAGUGGGUCCAAACCAAGUCAGGAAUAUGCCUCCUACAGCAUAAGAGGCUCAUUCAUUCAAGUUUUUCCUUUAAUUUGUCCCCAUUCUUGUGCAUUGCUUAAACAUAAGGUAAUAGCUGUAGAGUUUAGUUUCCAGUCACAUGGCUCUGAGAGCAAAUGUUUCAAACAAGUUGACAAUAUUUCUUGCAAAUUAUGUGGCAAAUUAUGUCCUUACUUUGGUAUGGGUCAAUUUCUGUUUAAUUUUUUCUGGUAUAUUAACUCACAAAUAAUGUUACCUACUUAGCUACAAACCUUUCUUACACAGCUUUUGGACACAGAUUGCACAGGUAAAAUGUCCAAAGACUGAUGGUAUAGGCAUUAUGUGUUCAAAAACCUUUACACCUCAACAUGUGAAACAAUGCUCACUGAAGAACCAAACAAUUUUGAAUUACAAAUAUUUUGUCUUUCUUGUCUCUCUUUCCCUGUUUGGUUGCCAAAAUGGUGACGGCUGACUUCCUGUGCAGGAAGGCAAAAACAUCUGCUGAUAUACAUUUCUUAUUGAACACGGUCUCACACUUAAUAUACACAAAAACAAACAAUACAUACUGUCAUUAAUUUUGUGAGCUUGUGUGUGUUUAACGGAGACCUGAUUUGUGAGAAUUCACAAUUUAGUGGAUUCAGUACAAUAGUAUGGUGAGAUUAGUAUGGGCACUAGGGUCAUUAGUACACGCUUGUAGCUUUAAAUGAAGGAACGUCUUGUUACAGAGUUCUGGUCAAGGUUGGCGACUGGACAUAAACGCUACGGAAUCAGACCCCAAUCUGUGGCAGCUCCAAAAAAAAUAAAAUGGCUCAGUUAUAAAAAUA